AUUGAACGCUGGCGGCAGGCCUAACACAUGCAAGUCGAGCGGAUGAAGGGAGCUUGCUCCUGGAUUCAGCGGCGGACGGGUGAGUAAUGCCUAGGAAUCUGCCUGGUAGUGGGGGAUAACGUCCGGACACGGGCGCUAAUACCGCAUACGUCCUGAGGGAGAAAGUGGGGGAUCUUCGGACCUCACGCUAUCAGAUGAGCCUAGGUCGGAUUAGCUAGUUGGUGUGGUAAAGGCCUACCAAGGCGACGAUCCGUAACUGGUCUGAGAGGAUGAUCAGUCACACUGGAACUGAGACACGGUCCAGACUCCUACGGGAGGCAGCAGUGGGGAAUAUUGGACAAUGGGCGAAAGCCUGAUCCAGCCAUGCCGCGUGCGUGAAGAAGGUCUUCGGAUUGUAAAGCACUUUAAGUUGGGAGGAAGGGCAGUAAGUUAAUACCUUGCUGUUUUGACGUUACCAACAGAAUAAGCACCGGCUAACUUCGUG
rnacentral:rRNA from 1 species